CUGUAUAAGGUAUGAUGGUAGAUCCUUACGGGUCGAAAGAGCUUGCAAUACAUCUUGAGUCAAGGGGGAAGAACCGGUGGCAGAGGAGAUGGGUAAAAACUGUGUAGUGGUUAUGACUUCAAGGUUCAUUUUACGGUGAGGCAAAUAUUUUGAGAGAUGCCCUCAACCGGAAACCACUUGACGGCUAUCCCAUCCCUUAGUAUAGUAAGAAGAAGGUCAGUAGUCAAGGAAUGAGAAGAAUCAGAACUGCUGUGAGUCAGCAGGAGAGUUA
rnacentral:lncRNA from 1 species